AAUUUUAAAAUUUUAUAGCAGUUUGGUUUUAAAUUUGACAGUUCUGUUUUCUCAAGUCAAAAAUCUUAACCUUACUUUUACAAGUGAUUAAGAUUAUUUUAUUUACAUGUAAAUUGAAACAAUAAAUAUUGUGCUUUGUCAUAAUUUAAAACUCAUUAUGUUGAAGUCUUUUCCAGUUGAUAAAAUUGCAAUUCAAAAACUUUUAGGUAGAUUUGUACUGUAUGGAUGGCACAGGAAGAGAACAGAGAACAAGAGUACAAGAACAUGAAACAUCUUAUUAUGAAUGUAUAUGUAUGUGAUCCUCAAAAAAUUAUUUUUCAAAACAAGAUAGAGAAUGAGCUUUAAAAUCCCAAGGAUCCUGCAAAAUGUCUAUUUGGUGUACUAGUCGAAUAAUAGUACCUAUCUAAAAAUAAUGAAACUGUUUUAAAACACAUUAUGGGCAUGAGGAUGAUAUAGAGCACUUACAUAAAUACCAAAAUCAGAUAAAUAUCUCUUCAAAGUUUAUUUUGAGACUUUCUUCAAAAAUUAAACUUCAGACUGUCCAGGAUAGCAUAAUAGCAUAGGAGGCAAAUUAAGAAGAAUUAAUUUACUUACAAGAAGAGAUAUCACAAACAUUAAACUCUCUUAUGGCAUUGAUUUGAAAGAUGGGUAUAUGUACAAUGAUGAUGCAACCAGUGUUUAUUUUUGGGUUGAAUGCUUACAGAUUAUUUAUUUUUUCCAAUAUUAUUUUACAAACAACAGGGCAUACUAAUGGAUAUUCAUUCUGAAUUUAACAUUUAUGAUUUUUGUCUUAUUUUCCUUAAUACUGUGCCAAAAGGAAAUGUUAAUUAAGUUUGGCAAAUCCUUUAUCGCAAUCGAUGGAACUCAUGGGCUCAAUUCCUAUGACUUUGAACUUAUGACAGUAUUAGUAAAAGAUGAAUUUGGGAAUGGA